AUACCAUGGGGUUCCACCUGUUCCCAUCCCGAACACAGAAGUUAAGCCCUUCAGUGCCGAAAGUACUUGGCUGGAGACGGCCCGGGAGGAUAGGUCGCUGCCG
rnacentral:rRNA from 1 species